UCCUGCAACUGCUCAAAUCUGCCGCUACGAGUCUCAAGCGCUGUUUUUCACUUGCAAAUCUACAUUUCGCUCUCUCGCUCUUCUGCACCAAAAAUCACUGUGACAUUUGGUGCAAAAGUUACUUGUGUAUCUGCCAACCAAAACGUGGGCUCUCAGAGAAAUUCAGCCAAUAGGGGAUGGGGCGUGACGUCACCGCUCUAGCGCUGCGGAGGCUGAACGUCGAAACCGAAACCCCCUUUGCGAGAUUCGCUGCAUCUAUACCUGAUUUGCGUUCAAAAAUGCCUGCUUAAUUAUUUCAUAGUAGGAGCAAACAUGCCUUAAGAAAAUGAGUAGGUUUGAAACUUUAGUAACCAUAAAAAGUACGCCAGGUGGAUGCCUUUCUACUCCAGGAAGCCGCAGCCUACGGCCUGAAGGAGGAAGAGGACGCGGUCAGUUUGAAAUAGCUGUUGUGAUAGAGCUGGACCUGUAGACAAGGGAACUAACACAUUUGAGGAAAAAAGAAUCCAAAAUAAGAGAUUGGUGUGUGUGGUGAGGGUAAAGAAGUCCACAUGCAGCAGCAUCUUGGAAAUGCUGUAAUGCAGGGGUGCCCAAACUCAGUUCUGGACAGCUGGUGUCCUGCAGAGUUUAGAGUCAACUUCAACUAAACUCUGCAAGACAGCAGCAGUUCUAGACUGAGUUUAGCCACUCCUGUUCUCCUGUAGUGAACUGAACGAGACCCUGCAUCAGUCCACAGGCCCUUGUGUCCUCAUCUGGACCAGAUGUUGCUGUGGUCUCUUCAUCAUCCGUAUCUCGGGCAUGGACUGCCAUGCAUCACCGUCCUGUUUCAGUCUGACUGCAGCAAUGAGGGAUGUGAUGAUGGCGAAGUCCCUCUGAUCAUCUGAAGAACUGGCCCAGCUGUGUGGAGAUACAGCAAAACAUGGGCUUCUGUCUGUAAUACAUCACUGUUAGAAUAAAGCUUGGUUUCAUGUGUUGGUGACUUGUAUUUAUUUGUCAUGAUUACUCAUAUUCAUUCUUUUAAUAAUAUAAUUAUGUUUCUGUUUGUUUUCAAUAAAUAAUGAUAAUACUUUCAA